UAGUGGCGAACGGGUGAGUAACACGUGGGCAAUCUGCCCUGCACUCUGGGACAAGCCCUGGAAACGGGGUCUAAUACCGGAUAAUACUCUCGCAGGCAUCUGUGAGGGUUGAAAGCUCCGGCGGUGCAGGAUGAGCCCGCGGCCUAUCAGCUUGUUGGUGAGGUAGUGGCUCACCAAGGCGACGACGGGUAGCCGGCCUGAGAGGGCGACCGGCCACACUGGGACUGAGACACGGCCCAGACUCCUACGGGAGGCAGCAGUGGGGAAUAUUGCACAAUGGGCGAAAGCCUGAUGCAGCGACGCCGCGUGAGGGAUGACGGCCUUCGGGUUGUAAACCUCUUUCAGCAGGGAAGAAGCGAAAGUGACGGUACCUGCAGAAGAAGCGCCGGCUAACUACGUGCCAGCAGCCCGCGGUAAUACGUAGGGCGCAAGCGUUGUCCGGAAUUAUUGGGCGUAAAGAGCUCGUAGGCGGCUUGUCACGUCGAUUGUGAAAGCCCGAGGCUUAACCUCGGGUCUGCAGUCGAUACGGGCUAGCUAGAGUGUGGUAGGGGAGAUCGGAAUUCCU
rnacentral:rRNA from 2 species